rnacentral:rRNA from 1 species
AUGUUGAUCUCACAAGUGAGAAGCAGCAGAGCAGGAAGAAUGAAUGGAGAAGGGGGUCGGUCGCCUAUAUAUAGUGUUGUUCCUGGAGGCCAAGUUUUGGUUUUGGAGGCUGCAUCUCCUCCUGGAUCCAGGUUUUUCUAUGAUAUGCUGCAGCAGGAACACGAACGGAGCAGCCAAAUCGAAUGGAAUGGAAUCUCCAACACCUCCGCCUGGAUCCAUGGGUGGGUAGUGUGCCUGCAGCAGGAACGCCAAGAGAGCAGAGCAGCAAGUUGUGAGCGAGGAAAACACAUCCAUCCAGGCAGGCCUGUCAAAUCCAAUCCAAUCCAACAGAAAAAGGGAGAGAAAGGGGGCACCUUGACGAGCGAGCUCCAUCCGUGGCAUCCCGGGAAGAGGUUCAUCCUCCUCCUCUUGCAGAUCCGUCGUGGAGAAGAUGCACAAAGUCCUUGA